UAGGGNNNCUNCGGCAAUGGGGGCAACCCUGACCGAGCAACGCCGCGUGAGUGAAGAAGGUUUUCGGAUCGUAAAGCUCUGUUGUAAGUCAAGAACGAGUGUGAGAGUGGAAAGUUCACACUGUGACGGUAGCUUACCAGAAAGGGACGGCUAACUACGUGCCAGCAGCCGCGGUAAUACGUAGGUCCCGAGCGUUGUCCGGAUUUAUUGGGCGUAAAGCGAGCGCAGGCGGCUUGAUAAGUCUGAAGUUAAAGGCUGUGGCUCAACCAUAGUUCGCUUUGGAAACUGUCAAACUUGAGUGCAGAAGGGGAGAGUGGAAUUCCAUGUGUAGCGGUGAAAUGCGUAGAUAUAUGGAGGAACACCGGUGGCGAAAGCGGCUCUCUGGUCUGUAACUGACGCUGAGGCUCGAAAGCGUGGGGAGCGAACAGGAUUAGAUACCCUGGUAGUCCACGCCGUAAACGAUGAGUGCUAGGUGUUGGAUCCUUUCCGGGAUUCAGUGCCGCAGCUAACGCAUUAAGCACUCCGCCUGGGGAGUACGACCGCAAGGUUG
rnacentral:rRNA from 1 species